AGGGCACCACCAGGAGUGGAGCCUGCGGCUUAAUUUGACUCAACGCGGGGAAACUUACCCGGCCCGGACACCGUAAGGAUUGACAGAUUGAGAGCUCUUUCUUGAUUCGGUGGGUGGUGGUGCAUGGCCGUUCUUAGUUGGUGGAGCGAUUUGUCUGGUUAAUUCCGAUAACGAACGAGACUCUAGCCUAUUAAAUAGUCGGUAAAUCCUUUGUUUACUGUACUUCUUAGAGGGACAGAAGGCGUCUAGCCUUACGAGAUUGAGCAAUAACAGGUCUGUGAUGCCCUUAGAUGUUCGGGGCUGCACGCGCGCUACACUGAAGGAUUCAACGUGAUUUUUCACCUGUUCUGGAAAGAAUGGGUAACCCGUUGAAACUCCUUCGUGAUUGGGAUAGGGGCUUGUAAUCAUUCCCCUUGAACGAGGAAUUCCUAGUAAGUGCGGGUCAUCAUCUCGCGUUGAUUACGUCCCUGCCCUUUGUACACACCGCCCGUCGCUACUACCGAUUGGAUGACUUAGUGA
rnacentral:rRNA from 1 species